rnacentral:rRNA from 1 species
CGCGGGAUUAGAGUUUGAUCCUGGCUCAGAUUGAACGCUGGCGGCGUGCCUAACACAUGCAAGUCGAGCGGUAACAGGUGUAGCAAUACAUGCUGACGAGCGGCGAACGGGUGAGUAAUGCUUUGGAAUCUUCCCAGUAGUGGGGAAUAACCAGUCGAAAGAUCGGCUAAUACCGCAUACGUCUGUAAAGGGAAAGCGGGGGCUCGUAAGACCUCGCGCUAUUGGAUGAGCCAAAGUCGGAUUAGCUAGUUGGUGGGGUGAUGGCCUACCAAGGCGACAAUCCGUAGCUGGUCUGAGAGGACGACCAGCCACACCGGAACUGAGACACGGUCCGGACUCCUACGGGAGGCAGCAGUGGGGAAUAUUGGACAAUGGGGGAAACCCUGAUCCAGCGACGCCGCGUGUGUGAAGAAGGCCUGCGGGUUGUAAAGCACUUUUAGUGGGGACAAAAAGCUACGGAUUAAUACUCUGUGGUCUUGAUUUAACCCAAAGAAAAAGCACCGGCUAACUCUGUGCCAGCAGCCGCGGUAAUACAGAGGGUGCGAGCGUUAAUCGGAAUUACUGGGCGUAAAGCGCGCGUAGACGGUUUUGUAAGUCAGAUGUGAAAUCCCUGGGCUCAACCUGGGAACUGCAUUUGAGACUGCAUGGCUAGAGUAUCGAAGAGGGAAGUGGAAUUUCCGGUGUAGCGGUGAAAUGCGUAGAUAUCGGAAGGAACACCAGUGGCGAAAGCGACUUCCUGGUCGAAUACUGACGUUCAUGUGCGAAAGCGUGGGGAGCAAACAGGAUUAGAUACCCUGGUAGUCCACGCCAU